rnacentral:rRNA from 1 species
AGAGUUUGAUCAUGGCUCAGGAUGAACGCUAGCGGCAGGCCUAAUACAUGCAAGUCGAACGGCAAGAUUUGGUAGUAAUACUAAAUCCUAGAGUGGCGCACGGGUGAGUAACGCGUACAUGACAUACCUAUAAGCGAGGGAUAGCAUUGGGAAACUGGUAGUAACCCCUCAUGUGAUUAUUUGUAAUAAGGUAAAUAAUUAAAACUACGGUGCUUAUAGAUUGGUGUGCGUCUGAUUAGCUAGUUGGCGAGGUAACGGCUCACCAAGGCGACGAUCAGUAGGGGCGUGAGAGCGUGAACCCCACACGGGUACUGAGACACGGACCCGACUCCUACGGGAGGCAGCAGUAAGGAAUAUUGGUCAAUGGAGGGAACUCUGAACCAGCCAUGCCGCGUGCAUGAUGAAAGCCCUCUGGGUUGUAAACUGCUUUAACAGGGAAGAAAAUGCUAUACGUGAUAUAGUACUGACGGUACCUGAGGAAUAAGCACCGGCUAACUCCGUG